rnacentral:lncRNA from 1 species
GCGAACGUUGCUACCAAGGAAGCUAUGGAGAACAGAAUCGGUGCAAACCCUAUAAUGUGAUGGCAGAGGCCAUACAUGGGAGUUGUAGUCUGUCUUUCCAUCGACCAAAGGGAGCUGCUUGGAGAACACAGAGGUGUUGAAGUAGGGGGUCGAAAGGGGCGAGGAAGCGACGACGAGUCCAUAGGGACUUAGCUACCCAAAAUCAAGCAUCAGUU